rnacentral:rRNA from 1 species
CUCAAUGAAAUUUAAAUAGCCGCAAUAUACUUGUGCUAAGGUAGCAUAAUCAUUUGUCUUUUAAUUAAAGACUGGAACAAAAGAUUUAACAUUUUUAUUUCUUUUUUAACAAUAUUAUAUAUAAUUUAUAUUAAAUAUAAAAAUAUAUUUAUAAUUAAAAAAGACGACAAGACCCUAUUGAACUUAACUAAAGUUUAACUGGGGCAGUUAAUUAAAUACAAUUUUAAUUUAAUUUAUCAAACAUCUAAUAUAAUUAAACACAUCAAGUUACCAUAGGGAUAACAGCGUAAUAAUUUUCUAUAGAUCUUAUUUAAAAAAUAUUUUGCGACCUCGAUGUUGAAUUAAUAAUCUAUUAAAUGCAAUAAUUUAAUAAGAAAGUCUGUUCGACUU